GAACGGGCUAGUCUCGUCUGGGGCUGGCUAGGUGGUCGGCGUUGUGCAGUGCUCACGAUGAAGCGGAAAGGGGCUGAAGAUGAACUUCCGGUUGACCGGUCUGCCACCCGCAGCGCGGAAAGCGGAAUUAACUGGCUACUGACCACUACCCUGGCCUGCGCGAGCUCCCGUGAAGUCGAACGAAGAUCCCUUGGUCGAAUGUUCAGAGCCCUUGGAUUCCAUCUCACCUCCCGAACGAUGACCUCCCCACCGGACAUAACUCAACCACUUCCUUGUACUUGACCUGCUGACGGCCGCCAGGUGGCGGGUCCCCCGAUUCUGACGUCAUCUUAGCAUUGUAUAAAACUCCCAGUGUCAUUUGUCGUUCUUCAGUCCUGACGCAGGCGGACCCUCCGUCCCAACGUUGGCGUAUCCCUUAACUUCCCACGUGUAAAUAAACUUAUAAUGUAAAUGUAGUAAUAAUGUACCUGUAAAUAAAACCA